UGAUGACUACUCAGGACGACGCUGGCGGCGUGCCUAAUACAUGCAAGUCGAGCGGGGUUAUUUAGAAGCUUGCUUCUAAAUAACCUAGCGGCGGACGGGUGAGUAACACGUAGGCAACCUGCCCACAAGACAGGGAUAACUACCGGAAACGGUAGCUAAUACCCGAUACAUCCUUUUCCUGCAUGGGAGAAGGAGGAAAGGCGGAGCAAUCUGUCACUUGUGGAUGGGCCUGCGGCGCAUUAGCUAGUUGGUGGGGUAAUGGCCUACCAAGGCGACGAUGCGUAGCCGACCUGAGAGGGUGAUCGGCCACACUGGGACUGAGACACGGCCCAGACUCCUACGGGAGGCAGCAGUAGGGAAUCUUCCGCAAUGGGCGAAAGCCUGACGGAGCAACGCCGCGUGAGUGAUGAAGGUUUUCGGAUCGUAAAGCUCUGUUGCCAGGGAAGAACGUCUUGUAGAGUAACUGCUACAAGAGUGACGGUACCUGAGAAGAAAGCCCCGGCUAACUACGUGCCAGCCGCCGCGGUAAUUCGUCGUGACUGGGAACCCCCUUGG
rnacentral:rRNA from 1 species